GAGUCGAAACACCGGUUCCCGUACGAUCACCGAAGUUAAGCAACCUCGAGCCUGGUUAGUACCUAGAUGGGUGACUGCUUCAGAAUACCAGAUGCUGUAAU
rnacentral:rRNA from 1 species